CAGUAGCCGCGGUAAUACGGAGGGGGCUAGCGCUGUUCGGAAUUACUGGGCGUAAAGCGCACGUAGGCGGCUUUGUAAGUUAGAGGUGAAAGCCUGGGGCUCAACUCCAGAAUUGCCUUUAAGACUGCAUCGCUUGAACGUCGGAGAGGUGAGUGGAAUUCCGGGUGUAGAGGUGAAAUUCGUAGAUAUUCGGAAGAACACCAGUGGCGAAGGCGGCCAUCUGGACCAGUACUGACGCUGAGGCACGAAAGCGUGGGGAGCAAACAGGAUUAGAUACCCCGGUAGUCCCUGUCUCUUAUAC
rnacentral:rRNA from 1 species